GCUUUCGUAGCUCAGCGGCAGAGCGGGGGCGUUCGAAGCCCAGGGUCGCAAGUUCGAACGGCCCUCGCCGCAACGCGGUUGAGAAAGUGCCGAAGGGAACCCCCUUAGACUGAGCACAGCGAAGUCAAUCUUGCCGGAAGCACCA
rnacentral:tRNA from 1 species